AUAAAGAUUUUUUGGUUAUUGCCAACAAUGAGGCUUAUUCCCUGACAAACAUUAAACCAGUUUUAUUUCCUUUCAUAGAGAUAGGAUUACAUUUACAGAUUGUUCUUAGAUAUACCCACCUGAUUUUUUAAAUUGCUUUUCCACCUGCUUCUCCUUUCUUCUUAGGGUGAAACUCUAGCCAAACACCCUCUUCUGGUUUCAGGUGAGCAGUCUGAAUUGUGGGUAUCGUAGUUCUCUUACCUUUCAAGGUUUCUGGUUUGGCUGCCUUGGAGCCACACUGGUAGAACUUCAAGUCCCAGGUGGCUGAGGAAGCAGGGGUGCAGGUGCCUGCCUGCCUACGGAGCAAGGCAUGGUUGAAGAGUACCUAAUUUUGGUAGAGUGACUUCUAUUCACUAAUACCAUGUGUCUGAACUGAAGAAGCUGGGGAUCAUUUCCGCAAAUGUUUUGACUUAUUUUCCUCCCGACUGAAGUUACAGCAAAAAGUUUAUGAUCAAGGCACAUUGCUAAAAGCUAAUCUACUUGACAUCAUGAAAAUUCAUCAGAGCAGCUAAACAAGCAGUGGCCUCAAGAUAAGCAGUGUUAAAAUAAUGACAGCUCAUCCAGCUCACAGAAGCUAACGGAUCUCCUGUCCACAAGCCAUAACUACAGCUUUGAUUGGACAAGAGACUGAUUUCAAUAACAUUCUUCUGAUGAAACCACCAACCACAGAUUGCACACUUGUGUGCCCUUGUGUCCUAAAAAGACCUUUUGAUGUAUAGGGCCUAAUUGUAGUACAUUUCAAUGUUAUCUUUACCCCAAGGUAAACAUGGGUCAUAUAUAUGCAAUUUGCUUAAUAUGCUUGUGUCAGGACCCCCUUCAUGAAUAUUCACAACUCCUCCUCUAGCCUGUUGAAUACAUACGUUACUUUAAUUUGUUCAACUUAAAUUCCUGUCUAAACCCUGCUUGUCUCUGGUCGUUGUCGGAUGCUGUGCUUUUCAGCCUGUGGAAUGGCCACCGUGAAGGCUAUAACCUUUUAUGAGAAAUAAAGUCUCCUUUCUAAACUCAUAAAACCUGUAGUUUCUAAAGUUAACCUCAUGUAAUAAUAGCCAUGUAUGGUGCAUUGGAAGAGGUGCAUAACUAUAUUAAACAAACAAACAAGAAAAUCAGAGAUGUGAGAAGUUAUUGCACACAAAACCCAAACUAAGUUUCCUUUGAUAGUCAAGGUAAAACUUAAAAGCCUAAGGGGAUACUGUUGUUGGAUUUUUUUUUUUUAAAUAAGAGAAAACAUUAAGAUUAGGAGGAAAACAUUUUUCCUAUCCCCAAACUUUGAGAAUAAUUUCUUAUGCAUAGCUUUAUAUGAUUAGAUGUUUACUAAAAAUAUAGGUGAAUUCCACAUCUCAUCUUUAUGACAAGUGAAAAACUGAGGAAGCAGUGUUAAGCCAUCACUCUGUAAAGCCAAUUUUGUUAGGAAGCUGAAGUAACAUGCUCUAUUUUUAAAACUGCCUUUUCACUGCAAUUGAUUUAGGCAUAAAACUAGGAGAAUUGUGAGUUGUGAAUGGCUAUCAUAUCCUCUUUUGGUGUUGAGAUGUCUUUUAAUGGAAACUACAUAGUAGGCAAUUUUAAAUUCUCAUUACCAAGACAUAGUUGAAAGACAGCCUUUCCUUAUUGUUGCAGGAAGGCAGCAAAAUGAUGUUUUGCAUGAAUGUAAAGUUCCUGAGAUGGAUUUGCUUAACAGCUUUUCACUGGAUCUUGGAUGGAUGGGCCAAGAGGUUGAGGUUGAGCCAGCUCCUGAGUGAGUCAGGUGUGAGCUUUUACGGGUACCGUGAAAGGAGUCAAGCCUCCUAAAGUGAGGCUCUUCACACAUCUACCACGGGGGCAGGUUAAAUGUCUCUUCGUGUGUUUCCUUUCUUUUCUUUUUUUUUUUUUUUUGCUUUUUUGA